UACGUAGGGGGCAAGCGUUGUCCGGAUUUAUUGGGCGUAAAGGGCACGCAGGCGGUCUUGCGCGUUUCGUGUGACAGGUGGUGGCUUAACUGCCACAGGCCUCGGAAAACGGCAAGACUUGAGGACUUCAGAGGGACGCGGAAUUCCAGGUGGAGCGGUGAAAUGCGUAGAGAUCUGGAAGAACACCAAAGGCGAAGGCAGCGUUCUGGGAAGUAUCUGACGCUCAGGUGCGAAAGCCAGGGGAGCGAACGGG
rnacentral:rRNA from 1 species